UGUGUUGAGGGUGAGAUUGUUGUCCUCACACCACGUCACCAGAGAGGCCACCUCCCUCCUGUAGGCUGCUUCGUCCCCACCUGUGAUGCGUCCUAGCACAGCGGUGUCGUCUGCAAACUUCAGGAUGAUGUUGUCCUUGUGGGAGGCUGCACAGUCGUGGGUGAACAGGGUGCUGUUUCAAAAACAAACUGAGAUCUGCUGCAAAUAUAACAGUUU